GCAAAUGGCUAAGAAUUUCCUUUUAAAAAUGCAGGGUUUUUUUUUUUUUUUACAGUGGAUUGACAAUGAAUAAUAUCUUAAAUACCUACAAAAUUACUGUUAUUGUCUGAGAAUUUUAUACUAGGAUAUAAGUGUAUCUAUUCUGUGUCCAUACUUGUUGUGCAGCAGUAGCAUGCAUAGCAGAUCUAGACCCUCAAGACAAAUACAUUAACAUUGUGAAAUCCAUUGACAUGCUAAACUAUUCAGAGAGUUGAAAUGCUGGUAUACACUAAUAUUUUUGUUUAAAAUUUUUAGGCACAGGAUGGAACUAUUGACAGGAAUUCCACUUAUGCUAAUGUUCUCACUGUGACCAACCAGGACAAAAGGAUCUCUGAUGAUCAAAGUGUGCGUGACUGUAAUAUUGAAUUCAGUACUCAGAUCAACCACAUUACAGAAAAAGAUUCAACAGAAGACGACAACUAUGAAAAAGGUUCAGAUGUAGUAUAUUCACAGGUCCAUGUGUUACACAAAAAAACAAAAGCCAUCAGUAUUCUGCCUGAGAACAUUUAUGCUCAGGUGAACAAAUAAAAAAUAUGUAUAUAUAUAUUUUUAGGGCCGGGACUCGAUUAAAAAAAUUUAUCUAAUUAAUUAGAGGCUUUAAUUAAUCGAAAUUAAUCGCAUUUUAAUCGCAUGUAAGUUAAAUAUUUGACCUGAGAACAGUGAGAAGUAAUUUUUUUUUCACAUGGAUUUAUAGUAUACCAUUGAAUAAUGACUGAAUACAUAAGCUUAAACAACAAAAUAUUGUUUAUUUUUGUUCAACCAAGUCUAGCAGACCAGUGCAAUUUUUGCCAUUAAGUGUCGCAAUAGCAUAUAUACGUCCACGCUAGCUGCUAUAUGUUUUGCGUUAAGGUGAUACUUGAGGCUCGAUGUGCUGCGGUGAUAUGCGAAUUCCUUGUUGCAUAGCUUGCACACAACCAUGCUCUUAUCAACGCUUCCAUCCGUUCGUUUUUUAUAACAAAAUUUCCCCUCCAAGGGGCCAACCAAAGCGGUCUCGUCUGCUUCUUCGUUCAUGUUCACUGUGGUUUGUUGUUGUCUGAAGUCAUGAACGCUAGUUGGUGCUCCAGUAUAAUCGGUCCGCCGAAACUCAUCCAGUGAGAAACGUUCCGCAGUGCAAAAAUAAGUUAUUAAAAAUGCGCAAAAUUUUUUGUGUAAUUAAUUAAUCUUAAUUAACGCGUUAUUUUUUGUGUAAUUAAUUAAUCUCAAUUAACGCGUUAAAGUCCCGGCCCUAAUAUUUUUACAUCUCACAAAAAAAAGGGAAAAAGAAAAAGAAAAAAAGAUGUUUGUUAUGAAAAAUCUAAUAAUGACUUUUAUGCUAUAAAUGUAGAAAAAAAAACAGACAAAACAAUUAUCUCAUCUGUAACAACUGUAUCAUUUCAUCUGUAUAUUUCAGUAUAGUCUAGGUCAGUGGUCUCCAACCCUGCUCCUGGAGAGCUACCGUUCUACAGAUUUCUGCUCCAAUCCCAUUUUAACACACCUGAACCAGCUAAUCAAGGUGUUCAGGGAUACUUGAUAAUUACAGACAGGUGUGUUGGAGCAGGGUUGAAACUGAAAUCUGCAGGACGGUAGCUCUGUAGAAGCAGGGUUGGAGGCCCCUGGUCUAGGUGAUAUGUGAAAAUAAUGUUCACUUUUUCAUAAAAGCAUGAAACUUGGUACACUUGUAUAAUUUGCGGCCCUAAACAUUUUCAGAAAUGGAGCCAUUGCAAAUGCCAUGGCGACCAUUUUACUCUCCGCCAUAACCAAAGUAUAUAUUUUGUGUCAUAGCUCCUGAACCAAACAUGAUAACACAGAAAGGUGAUGUCUACCCCUGUGUUUUGAUUUGUUACCAAAUGUUGUCUGUGAUGCAACUGCAUGUGUUAAUUAAGUCAAGCUGGUUGCCUGAUAUAUUAGAGCUGUUGGUGGUAAGCCAUUUGAGAUCUCAGUCAAGCCCAAGAUACUAAUGGCACUUUUCCAAUGUGUGGUAUGACUCGGCUCGGCACGGUUUGCAUUUCCACUGCAGUUUAGUAUUGCCUUAGAGUGGGCGGGAUUAUUAACAUGUCA
ensembl:lncRNA